CAGUUCUUCCUGGGGAAAGUAAUCUUUGCGGCUCUAAUCUUACCAAUGUCUUCUUUAGCAGGAACAGCUGCAGCUCUUGCGGGAUGAAAAUAUCAGGCUAAGCAAGCUGAUGUGUAAGCUAAAGACUCUGAACUGUUGGAAGCAAACCACUCGGAAGACACAGCUCUGCAAAGCUUAGAGAUGCUGAGAAGGAAGCUCUUCAAAACAAAAAAGAGCGUCUGAAUGCUAAGAUGAUGGCAGAACAAGAGGUGGCUUCAUUUCAGGGGCAGCUCAUGUCUGUAAGGAGAGCUCUUGCAAAAUCUCAAGCAGACAAUGACAAGCUAAAGAAACAGCUCCAUAAACAGAAACAAAUGCGGUUGGAAGUAGUACAGAGGAAGACAGAAGUGACAAGUAUUCAGUGUGAUGAGAGCUGAAAAUAUAGAGAAGAUGCUUGAAGAGAUGGAAGAAAAAGAGCAGAGUGAAAUGCCUAACCAAGGAAGCUGAAAAAGCUUCUAAAACAUGCCAUCUUCAACAAAAAGGGCCC